GAUGAACGCUGGCGGCGUGCCUAAUACAUGCAAGUCGAGCGAACGGACGAGACUCUUGCUUCUCUGAUGUUAGCGGCGGACGGGUGACUAGCACGUGGAUUACCCACCUCUACGACUUGGAUCACUUCGGGAAACCGUAGCUAAUACCGGAUAAUAUUUUUAGUCUCAUGGUUGGAAAGUGAAAUACGUUCUUGCUGUCACUUCUACAUGUAUCCGCGCUGCUUUAGCUAUUUGGUAAGGUAACGGCUUACCAUGGCCGCGAUGCAUAGCCGACCUGAGAGCGUGAACGGCCACACUGGGACUGGAAGGCGGUCCAGACUCCUACGGGAGGCAGCAGUAGGGAAUCGUGCGAGAUGGGCGAAAGCCUGACGGAGCAACGCCGCGUGGAUGCUGAAGGUCUGCGGGUCGUAAGACUCUCUUAUUGGGGAAGAACAUAUGUGCAAGGAACGAAGCACAUCUUGACGGUACCUAGACAGAAAGCCACGGCUAACUACGUG
rnacentral:rRNA from 1 species